UUUGACGCCCCCCCCGCCUCCCCCCAUAGGGCUGAACCGCAGCGCCACUUUCUCCUGCGAAGCUCGAAACUCCCGCGGGGUCAGCACGUCCCGCAGCGCCGUCAUCACCGUGGUGCCGCAGCGCCCCACACGUGUGGGGCUGACCGAGGUGGGGCAGCGCUGGUUGGAGCUGAGCUGGGAGGCGGGGAGCAGCGGGGAGACCCCAACGAGAGUCUGCAGCGUGCAGGCUGUGUCGGAGGCCCCGGGGGGGGGCGAUGCGGUGCUGGAGGUUCCCGUUCCGGUGCCUCCGUUCUCCCACCGCUUGGGGGCGCUGCAGCCCCACACUCCGUACCGCCUCCGCGUCUCCUGCGGCGCCCCCGGGGGUCCCACAUCUCAGUGGUCCCAGUGGGUGCGGGCGGCAACGGCCGAGGGGGCCCCGGUUUCCCCCCCCCACAACAUCACGGCGGAGCGCUGGGGGCGGUGGGCGCGGCUGCAAUGGGCGCCGCCGCCGCUGGGGGCGCUGCAAGGGGAGCUGCGCGGAUUCCGCCUCCGUUA
rnacentral:lncRNA from 1 species